GAGGACCCGUGCGAGGAGCCGGCGCCGGGCAAGGUGAAGAAGAUGAGCUUCAAGAAGGAGCCGAAGCUCACCG
rnacentral:tRNA from 1 species